CCGGUGCGCCCGGCCGCCGGGCAGAGCCCCCGCGGAGCCUCCGAGCGUUGCGUCGGGCUCAGCCCUGGGCCCGGCGGGGGGGGCCCGGACGUGCCGGGGGCAUUUUUUCGUUCUUUACAGAACCGCGCCCGGUUUGUCCCCGGGGAAAACUGCCCCGAGCCAUGCGCUCCGACGGCGGGACGCGCAUCCCGGUGCGCGGCGGCGGCGGAGCUGCGGUGCCAGUACGGCAGCCCCGGGGCCGCGGUGAGCCGCGCAGCCGCAUCCCCUUACCUCGCCUUUCGCUGUUCCUCAGGUUUCUUUCAGUUUUCCGGCCGGUGCCUGGAAAGCGCCGGUUCCGCUCCCCUGCGGGGCUGCUCCGCGGAGCCUCCCGCCCGCCUGCACCAGUGCUCGGCGGCGGAGGGUGCGCGCAGACGGCGCGGGUCUGCCCGAGUCUUUCGGGCUAUGCACCUGCACGUAGGAGAGGCAGCGGAGAAGCUGGAAGAGGCGCAAACAGAUAUUUCGCGACGAGUCGUUGUUGUAGCUAGGAAAGAAACGGUAAAACACACAUAGGAAAAACAGCUAGAACGAAUGGUUUUGGAAACGUUUGCGCGCCCCAGCCCCAGCUCGGCAGUCUUCACCUGACGGGUAUUUUGCUUCUGGAAGAGGGAGACGUUGCCGCCAGCCGCGCCCUGGGAUCGCCCCUGCUCGGAACGACUCUAAACUGAGGGACCGUCUCUCGGGCAGAAAAACUACUGGAAAAGCGGGGUUUGAGUCCUGCAGAUUGCUCCCAGGGGGAGACAGACGGGGGGGGGCCGCGCCGGGGCUCGGGGGGGCUAAGACCGGCGGAGCGCAGGGGCCGCGGUGUCCCGGGCUGCCUUGGACUGUCCCGGGCCAGGGCCACCCCCCGAGUGCCACCAACGGCACUGGGGGCCGGAGAGGCGAUGGAUGCGAUUUUCCCCUCUUUCCCGCUGGAAGAGAAGGAUGUUCUCCUCUGCUGUUUAGAUUUCCUACUAAAGAUGUCAUCGGAAAGUCUGGGAGGGAGCGGGGACCGUGCUCUGCUUCUUCCACAAUUAUCGGAACCCUUUCAAAACUCACACAACAAAUACAGCCACCGCAUCUAAUGCAUCAUUUACCAGAGCAGAUCUCCGCGUUUGAUCGGCAGAUAGGCAAAAUCUAUGUAUUCCUUGCUUUGCUUAGUAUGCAUGGACGCGGAGCUGCUCUGGGAAGAAGGAGAGCAUCAUCCUGAGCACCCGCUUGUGCUCGCGCUCACUCUGCACUCACAGUCACGUUCACCCACACCCAGGAGCUGCUCCAGGGGUGGCGAGCUCCCAAAAGCCACUCUUAGGCUCAGCGGUGCCUUAGUCCAGCCCGAGCCCUCGACACUCUCAGGGUCCACCUUGUAAAACCUCCCAGUUUGUGUCCCCCAUAAUCCUGUCAGCCCAGCCAGGCCAUGGGCACAGCAGGGCACCUGUAUUCUCCUUCUUUCCUUCUUCUUUCCUUUUUCUUUCGUCCUCUUCCUUCUUUCCUUCUUUCCUUCUCUCCUUCUCUCCUUCUUUCCUUCUCUCCUUCUCUCCUUCUCUUUCCUUCUUUCCCCUCCAGGUUUUCUGGUUCCUUACUAUCUUUUCUGUUGUGAUUAUUUCCCCCAAAAUAACUCUACACGUCAGUGAAUGGACCCCUGCUCCAGAGCAGCAGAUCCCUGAUCCAGCACAGGGGUGAAUAUCCCCUCGGCUCUCACCCACCCUUCUCUUCCCUGCAGUGCCUCAGCCUGUGCCCAGGUACCAAACAAGGUGGCAUUCCGUUGUGUGCCACUGCAGGCCACUCCUGUGUUCCCAGCGCUGGAUCCCUGGCCCACGGGGGGUGAGGCGCCGGGUUGGGAACAGGACCCCCACCGUGUCCCAGCUCCUCUGCCUGCCCAGCAAUGCUCGUCCCUCCCCGGCCUGCAAAGGGAGAGAAACUCGGGGGAAGUUGGUGGCGAGAGCAGCCCGGCCCUGCCCGUGCUCCAGAGCUUUGCAAAUGUUCAACUUGUACUAAUUUUUUUAUGGCUGUAUUCGCAGUUGUUCCCUGUAAAAAACGGACCUGUGUUAGUUUAUUAAUAACCUAAACAUUACGUAUUAAAGACCUGUGAGUGACA
rnacentral:lncRNA from 1 species